ACUCGAGGGAGGCCCAGAGCUCGAACCCCCGGAGGCCGCACGCCGGGCAUUGUUUCUCCGACCAUGAGUGUGCGAGUGAGCCCGGGGCACAGGGAACAAGGCCUCCGGCCUCGACGGCAGAAUGCCGCCUCCGUCUUUGUGCUUCCUGAGCAGGCUGGCGGGCUCUCCUCCCCCGGACGCCGCCAUACGCGGGCCGCUUGGCCUUCGUCGGAGGCCCGCGGCGCCCGAAUCCCUCACUCCCACCCCCGGCCGGGCACGAGUAGCCGGGCGCCCUCCCCAAGCCCUGUACUACUCACCCUUCGGCGGCAGGAACCGGGCUGGCGCGCGACGCCGGCGCGGUGGGACCGGGCCGAGCCCUCAGGGAGGGGCGAGCCGGAAGCCCUGAAUUCGCCGCCGCCGCGGGCCGGGAGCGGGUCAGAGCCGCAGGCGGAGGUGGCGCCGCCGCCGCGGGGUCUUCCUUUGUUCCCGCAGCAGCACCGAGCGUGGCCGGGACACGCCGGAGCUCGGGAAGUGGGAGGAGGAAAGCGAGGGGGGGCGGAGAAGGAGGCGGAGGGAGGGCCGAAGGCCGCGGCGGCUAACACUGCUCGCGGCGCCGGCCCGUCGUCGCCUCACGCCUCCACCGGCGGCGUCUUUGGCCGACUCCGAGGGCGAGCGGGGCGCGCGCAGCUAGGCCUGGGCGCCGCAAGGGCCCGCGGAUGGCGCUCUCUGUCGCUUUGCUACUGCCGGGGAAGGUGUGCAGCUCCAGGGAACGACGAACCCCAAACGGAGAAGCACGUAGGCCUACCGCUCCAGUCGACUGACGCGUCCUCUCCACCUGGCGCUCAGGCUGUGAGGGAAAGGGGAGGGGGGGCGGGGUCUGUGCGUCAGCGAAAACCCCGACGGCGGCGGCGGCGGGGAGCGCGUUGACGUCACGUGCUCGACGCCGCGCCUCCGCCUUCAGUCACCCGGCCGGGGAGGCGGGGCCGAGCAGGCGGGGCCGAUCCUGAGCGCGCUACCUUUGCGCGGAGCCGAAUCAGUGGCUCGGCUGCCGGCCCCAGGGUGGAGUUGGAAAGAAGUAGUCCUGUGGAGG
rnacentral:lncRNA from 1 species